ensembl:lncRNA
GUCCAACGCGUUAGCUCACGUUCCUGCGCCUUUGUCCCGUAGACGGAAACCAAGUAACCUGAGGCAGCAGGCUACUAUCGCUCUUGUACAAACACAAUAACUCCCAAUCUCCUGAGCUCCAGCUCUUCCAUACUUCAGCCCGUCUAGAGACAGAAGGCUGGGACCAGCUCCAGCCCGCUGAGCGCUUCUUCCAAGAUGGAACGGCUGCACGCGUCCGAGAGCCCCCCGGAGAGGAGCAACCACACGGCGUUCAUAGACGACAACAUCCUCUACGUGUGGGGAGGCUACCAGGUGGCAGCAGGGGUAGACUUGAUCCUGCCUUCUGGAGAGAUCUGGGAAUGUGAUCUUGACAGCGGAGAGUGGGUGUGCCGGGCGAUCGGGGGUGACACGCCCUCAGAGUUGUCGGGGCCUUGCGGUUCUUUCCUCGACGGUUCGCUGUACGUCUUCGCCG